UUUUCUUCUCUCCUUGACCCCGUACCCACACCCCCCCCCCAGAAAGGAGAUGUGAUCCAGAUCAUUGAAAAGCCACCCGUGGGCACAUGGUUGGGCCUGCUGAACGGCAAGCUAGGCUCUUUCAAAUUCAUCUACGUGGAUGUGCUACCUGAGGAGGCCGUGGGGCCUGUACGCCCCAGUCGCCGACAGAGCAAAAGCAAGAGACCCAAGCCCAAGACUCUGCAUGAACUGCUGGAGCGCAUUGGCCUGGAGGAGCACACAUCCACCCUGCUGCUCAAUGGCUACCAGACACUGGAAGACUUCAAAGAGCUGCGGGAAACACACCUCAAUGAGCUCAACAUCAUGGACCCUCAGCACCGGGCCAAGCUGCUCACAGCUGCAGAGCUGCUGCUGGACUAUGACACAGCUGGCAGUGAAGAGGCCGAAGAGGGCGCUGAGAGCAGCCAGGAGCCCGCGCUGCACACAGUGUCAGAACCCAAGGUGGACAUCCCACGUGACUCUGGCUGCUUUGAGGGCUCAGAGAGUGGCCGUGAUGAGGCGGAGCUGACAGGCACAGAGGAGCAGCUACAGGGUCUCUCCCUGGCUGGGGCACCAUGAAGUGAAGACCGCAUAGGCCGAGGCUGAGCCCUAGUUGCAGAGACUGCAGAGAUGGGUGUGGCCUCCCAUAAUGGCAUAGGACCAGAGGACUGGUGCAGAAUCUGGCCCGGCUUCCCCAGGGAGGCUUAUGGCUGAGGGCCCUGCCAGGAUUCUACGGGCUCAGAUAGAGUGGAUAAGGGACUGCCCAAAGAUAUAUGCUGCCUUUUGGACCCUCUCCCUCUAUCAGUGACUGACAGUAUAGCCCCUUCUGGCACCUCCCUUUCUCCCACUAUGGC
rnacentral:lncRNA from 1 species